rnacentral:sRNA from 1 species
AAUCGGCCUACAGCGACGGGAACGUGUUCCCAGUGCUGAGCCGAGGGGGAUGAGCCACAGCAAAAGCAGUUGCCCCGGUCCGUCUGGCCGGAGAAACUGGAAAGCUGAAAAAACAAGUGAACGGGUAGAGUUUGGUAGGACAGCAAUGUCUCGAAGAAGUCGGACC